rnacentral:tRNA from 1 species
GCAGUUAUGGCCGAGUGGUUAAGGCGAUGGACUAGAAAUCCAAAGGGGUCUCUAGUCUCCCCGCACAGGUUCGAAUCCUGUCGACUGCG